rnacentral:rRNA from 1 species
AUUGAACGCUGGCGGCAUGCUUUACACAUGCAAGUCGAACGGUAACAGGUUAAGCUGACGAGUGGCGAACGGGUGAGUAAUGCAUCGGAACGUGCCCGAUCGUGGGGGAUAACGCAGCGAAAGCUGCGCUAAUACCGCAUACGAUCUGAGGAUGAAAGCGGGGGACAGUAAGGCCUCGCGCGAUCGGAGCGGCCGAUGUCAGAUUAGGUAGUUGGUGGGGUAAAGGCUCACCAAGCCAACGAGCUGUAGCUGGUCUGAGAGGACGACCAGCCGCAAUGGGACUGAGACACGGCCCAGACUACUACGGGAGGCAGCAGUGGGGAAUUUUGGACAAUGGGCGAAAGCCUGAUCCAGCAAUGCCGCGUGCAGGAAGAAGGCCUUCGGGUUGUAAACUGCUUUUGUACGGAGCGAAAAGGCUCUCUCUAAUACAGGGGGCUCAUGACGGUACCGUAAGAAUAAGCACCGGCUAACUACGUGCCAGCCGCCGCCGUAAAAC